AAAUUGUGCGGUUAACGGUCAAAGCCCCCCUGCCUACUUUGACACUCAUUUAAAGAUGACAGGGAACAAUAGAGAUUUGUUCUGUGCAACCCUUUCUUGUUAUGCCGGCGACAUCAGCUCCGCACAUGAAACUGCCCGAUAUUUCAUUCCACCUGCCACCUCCCUCCCGCCUCGGUCGACUCUCUCCUCUGCUACUUUGCUUGUUCCCACUUUAACACAAAGAGACAGCUCUGUGUUCACAGCACCUAACAGUGUUGAAAAAGAAUGUUAUUUAGAACCCGAGUUGAGACGUCACCUUUCCAGACCCAUAAUUGCUUCCUGGCUCACCAAACACAAACCAGAAAUUAAUGCUGCAAAGAGCAGAGACAAGAGAUUUCACUGUGUUAGCCAGGAUGGUCUCGAUCUCCUGACUUCAUGAUCCACCUGCCUCAGCCUCCCAAACUGCUGGGAUUACAGGCUUGAGCCACCGUGCCUGGCUUCAGGCUGGGAUUUUUAUAGCUUAUUAUGGCAAGGGAGGAGACAGAGAAUAAAAGACGAAGAAAGAGCAUACACAGUCACCCCUUGUGUAACAAAUAUGUAAGAAAUAAAGAUAAAUGUGUACAAUUCUUACAAUUUUACUUUUCUGAAUUUUGCUAUUGCACUGAAUGAUUUGUGAUAAGACAGAUGGGGAUGAAAAAUAUACUUAUUAAAUAAACAGCUAUUAAAAGCCCCUAAAGUUCUUUAAAAUGGGAUUUUUUUUAUUA